rnacentral:rRNA from 1 species
CCUACGGGUGGCAGCAGUGGGGAAUAUUGCACAAUGGGGGAAACCCUGAUGCAGCGAUGCCGCGUGGGGGAAGAAGGUUUUCGGAUCGUAAACUCCUUUUAUCAGGGACGAUAAUGACGGUACCUGAAGAAAAAGCUCCUGCUAACUACUUGCCAGCAGCCGCGGUAAUACGGAGGGAGCGAGCGUUGUCCGGAAUGACUGGGUGUAAAGGGAGCGUAGGCGGGACGGCAAGUCAGAUGUGAAAACGGAGGGCUCAACUUUCAGACUGCAUUUGAAACUGGUGUUCUUGAGUGAAUUAGAGGAUAGCGGAAUUCCUGGUGUAGCAGUGAAAUGCGUAGAUAUUAGGAGGAACAUCGGUGGCGAAGGCGGCUUACUGGGCUUUUACUGACGCUGAGGCUCGAAAGCGUGGGGAGCAAACAGGAUUAGAUACCCCAGUAGUC